rnacentral:rRNA from 1 species
UACGUAUGGGGCUAGCGUUAUCCGGAUUCAUUGGGCGUAAAGAGCGCGUAGGCGGCUUGUUAAGUCAGAUGUGAAAUCUGUGGGCUCAACCCGCAGCCUGCAUCUGAAACUGGCAGGCUUGAGUCUGGUAGAGGAUAGUGGAAUUCCAGGUGUAGCGGUGAAAUGCGCAGAUAUCUGGAGGAACACCAGUGGCGAAGGCGGCUAUCUGGGCCACGACUGACGCUGAGGCGCGAAAGCUAGGGGAGCGAACAGG